GACUGGGUAGCACAGCGGUAGAGCUUCUGACUAGUGUUGCAGGGGUCCCGGGUUCGAUUUCCGGUCCAGGCA
rnacentral:tRNA from 1 species